rnacentral:rRNA from 1 species
UACGUAGGGGGCUAGCGUUGUCCGGAUUUAUUGGGCGUAAAGAGCGUGUAGGCGGCUUUACAGGUCCGUUGUGAAAACUCGAGGCUCAACCUCGAGACGCCGGUGGAAACCGUAAAGCUAGAGUCCGGAAGAGGAGAGUGGAAUUCCUGGUGUAGCGGUGAAAUGCGCAGAUAUCAGGAAGAACACCCGUGGCGAAGGCGGCUCUCUGGGACGGUACUGACGCUGAGACGCGAAAGCGUGGGGGAGCGAACAGG